UAAUACGGAGGGUGCAAGCGUUAAUCGGAAUUACUGGGCGUAAAGCGCACGCAGGCGGUUUGUUAAGUCAGAUGUGAAAUCCCCGGGCUCAACCUGGGAACUGCAUUUGAAACUGGCAAGCUAGAGUCUCGUAGAGGGGGGUAGAAUUCCAGGUGUAGCGGUGAAAUGCGUAGAGAUCUGGAGGAAUACCGGUGGCGAAGGCGGCCCCCUGGACGAAGACUGACGCUCAGGUGCGAAAGCGUGGGGAGCAAACAGGAUUAGAUACCCUGGUAGUCCACGCUGUAAACGAUGUCGAUUUGGAGGUUGUGCCCUUGAGGCGUGGCUUCCGGAGCUAACGCGUUAAAUCGACCGCCUGGGGAGUACGGUCGCAAGAUUA
rnacentral:rRNA from 1 species